GUGUGAUUCGUUCUCUGAACUUCCGGAGAGAGGGGCGGGAGCCGUAGUUGGGCGCGUAGAAGUAGGCCGCUCUAGCGGUGGCGCAUUCUUUUGUUUCAACUCACCCAGGAGAGUUCCCAGUUCAUAUAUAGGGUCUGUAUGAAGGCUGUGCUAUAGGAACAGGGAGAAGACCAAUAAUUUCAUUCCACAUAAAAAAAUUAUGCCACAAAGAAAGUGAAACAUCAUUGGAUCAAAGAGGAAAACAAUAGAAAGUAGUCAGCAGGACUAUUUUUAAAAUCUACAGGAUGCAGUUAGGAAGAGCCAAAGGAAAUGUUUCCCGAAGCACAAGCCAAGGAAAAACCUUUGAGAAUCAAUGUAAGACAGCACGGCAGCGGAAGAGAUGGGGAAUGACUUCCCGAUUUGACACAGGUUUCAGUAGAUUUAGAAACAGCCUAGAGGAGAAACCCUAUAAAUGUACUCAAUGUGAGAAAAGUUUCAGUCAGAGUUCAACUCUUUUUCAGCACUUAAAAAUUCACACUGGAGAAAAAUCCCAUAAAUGUGCUGAUUGUGGAAAAAGCUUCUUUCAGAGCUCAAACCUCAUUCAGCACCGACGCGUCCAUACUGGAGAAAAACCCUAUAAAUGUACUGAGUGUGGGGAAGGAUUUAAACAGAGCUCAAAUCUCAUUCAGCAUCAGAGAAUUCACACUGGAGAAAAGCCCUAUCAGUGUGAUGAAUGUGGCAGAUGUUUCAGUCAGAGUUCCCAUCUUAUCCAGCAUCAGAGAACCCACACAGGAGAGAAACCCUAUCAGUGUAUUGAAUGUGGCAGGUGCUUUAGCCAGAGCUCUCACCUUAGUCAACAUAUGAAACUGCAUAGAGAAGAGAGACCUCACAAAAUCCGUGGCAAAAAUUCCAGGGCAAAAACUAGUUUAGUAUCAGGUUGGAGAAUUCAUACAGGAAGGAAAUCAGUAUCUUUGCUGUGCUAAAUAAAACAGAUACACCAUUUAGGCCUGCUUUAAUAAAAAUGAAAAAAAAAAAAAAA